CCUAAAAUGAUAAAUAAAAAGAAAACCCCAUUAUUUAUUUGGUAGCAUCCUCAAUAUCUGAUAUUGUUUCCACGCCCCCACGACCUUUUGUUCGCCUAGUUCCCCUUUCUGGAGUAGUGAAAUCAUCGUGCCUAGUUUCCAGAGUUGGAGUCCAACGGUCGAAGAUAAAAUCUAGGAAUUCAGGCACAAAAUCAAAUGGGUUACUUGAUAGUUUUCUAAAUGCAUCCCUUAUCAAGUUGUCUCAAAUUUUUGCAUAUCUCUAAUAAACUUGCUACUGUCGGUGCAUAUAUUGUGGCAUAUCCAUGACUGCAAAUUGAUCUGAAUAUGCAAUAACUUUAGAUGAUAGGAAGGUGGGUGUUGAUUUUGUCCAUUUGGGAAUAACAUGUUCAGUUGGCGUGGCAAAGUUAGGAUGAGUAGUUGAUUUUGGCUUAGGAUUUGGUUCCGACUUAAUGGAUGAUCGGGUGGUUUUGCCUCAGAUGGUUCAUCAACUGGUUGCUUCUGCCUAGUAAUAUCACCCACUAUUCUAGUAACAUCGCUUUCUGUUAUAUGACAUUGUUGGUUUCUUUCUUUGAGAUCCACCUUUGGAAGUAUGAAGGCUUGCAAGCAUAACAAAGUCAAUUAAUGAUGGAAAACGCGCAUAGCCAGCCCGCUUAACAGCACACUCCUGGAUCUUUUUGUAGAUAAUUUUUCCCACGUCGAUGGACUUUUCUACCAUGAUAGCAUAUAGCAAAAGCAUACAUUCCAUCGAGAUAGUGGAACUGUGUGAGAUAGACAUAAGACUGAAUCGUAUGAAAUAAAACCAUACCUUUGUUGUUGGGUUCAAAAACACUGUUCAGCAAGUAUGAGUACCAGAUUUAGAAGUUAUCCAUUUAGUUCCAGGAACUGUAACUUCUUUUAGUACCUCUUUCAGAAAC
rnacentral:lncRNA from 1 species